CAUUAAAAUCCUCCCUAGAGCUUAACCAUCCUCACUCGCUGCGCUGUCUGCAAGUCUUCGUACUGCCGAGCCUGGACUCCUGAAGAUUCUACGUUUACAGCAGACUGACUCAAUAGUUGCUGAUGCUGGUCACUUACCCUGUUGACAUGGUCCUCAAAAUGGGGAAAGUGCCCAAAAGUUUUCUCUUAAGGAUACAAUGAAAUGGCAUCUAUACUUAUGGUCAAGAGCACAGGACAAUGUGCCUGGUCCUUGGAACAUGUUCAGAAUUGCCUUCAGGCCACCAUCAAUGGAAAGUUCUUUCAUGCCUCAGAAAAAGAAGCAACUGGAAGGAGAGGAAGCUAAACUGGGAUAUGUGCAUCAGAGACGUGACUCAGUUUGAAAAGAGGAACAGGACAAUAUCUACACACAAACCCAGGGCUUUAUGUUGUUCAUUUUGCUCUGAAGCCUCAGUACUCAGUCCUUCCAGGGCCUGCUGAGAGACCACCAAGGCCUGAGGCUGGAAAUCCCAGACUGCAGCGACCUCCCUUCUGAGGCUCCCUGGGGCUGUUUUGCUAGACCCUGGAUAUUUGGGGCAAUGAGGAAUAUAGAAUGAUAUACCUAGUGGAGGAGGGGGAAAGAUGGAGGUUUGUUAAUAAAAAACAAGGAAGCAGACUCACUAACUCUGGCUGAUUUUUAGUGACAUUGUUAUUCUGGAUACAUGGAAUUUAGA